AGAAUGUUGGCCCUCCCUCUGCCGUUAUGAAGCUCUGCGCGGCAGCCCGCCGCUUCCUAUCUGGAUUUCUGUCGUACGUUAGUUGGCAGCAUCUUUAUCACAGACUUUCCAGAAAUCUGUUGCAGACUUGUUAAGCCAUCAAAAACCAUAUUUAGUUCUAGCUCUAGGCUAUGGGACUAUGAGGACUCCGAGAAGGUGUCCAAGUGAGAUGGCGAAUGAUGGCUGGCGAGGUUGUUCGAGGUCAUUUCAUGAUGAGGAUGGACCAGACUUUAAGACAUUCUGAGCUCCAUGAAUGACAUGAGACACUCCAGGAGACGGUGGUUGCAAUGCAAUAUCAACACCCCGCAACCCCAACCCUCCAAUGGAACCCAGAACCCUCCGGAGUUCCUCAGGACCUGUCGGCAUGAGUGAGGCGAACACAUCGUGCGUUGGAGGAAAAGUUGCAGUGACGACUUGGACCACAGGCCAGAAGCCUGAAAUAGAUUCUUUGAGAAUCUUAAAAGUCAAACAACUGGGCCUUGCGGGGAAGACUGAUGACGUGAGAAAAAAAGGAAAAAGCUGAUGAGCAGACGUGAGCGGUGGUGCUGGUGGCGCAGGAUGUCCUCGAGGAGGACGACCUCGACUACCUCAAAGGAGCUGAUGCCAGCCUUGUGUCUGAUGGGGAAACAAGUGCACAUUUGUUGUGCUCUGUCUGAGAUGGAGAAGUGCGCGCCUUACUGGCGUACUUCAUUGAUAGUGACCGAUAGUGGCCGGUUCUCCCUUCGU